UGUCCGGGGGAGCUCCAGAGGCGCGGGGACUCCUUCCCUGCGAGAGCAGCGGUGUGGGGUUCCGAGCCCCCCGCGGGGCUGUGUCCGCUCGGGGACAGUCACCGCAGCGGGAGCGGCUCUGCCAGCACAGCGGUGCUGCCGCGGCGGCUGCAGCGGGCCAGGGCUUCCCUUUUCCAGCCCCGCUGCAAAACGGGGCCCAUGUGUUUCAGCACGAAGCCUUGUUGGUGUGCAGGGCAUCUGGGUGCAGGAAGGAUGGGCACAGCUCAGCUGCAGGCAGCUUUCCAUCAGCACCAGGAUGGACAAGACCAUGAGGACAAGCAUGAGGACACAGCCCAGCCUUCACUGCUCCAGCCUGGCAAGCCUGCAGGGAGCUGCAGGAACCAGAGCCAAUCCACCCUAGGGCCAUUGACAGCCAUGCUCCAACACCAGCAUUUCAAAAGCUCAGGGCCCCAACCCAGCGCUGCUGAGGACUGGCCCGAGCUUUUCCCACCGUGGCUGCUUGGAAGAACUGGAUGAGGCCAGGGUCUGCCAAAUCCAACCCCCAGAGAAUGACACAGAACAGCAGUGUGGGGUUUUUGAUUAUUAUUCAAAGGAAGACAGAAACAUUUGAUAACAUGUCAAGCACAUCAGGGUACUGAUGAUAAUUGCAGCAGGGACAAGAAGUUGCUUUGGGCAAGGGCUGUCGUCCUGCUCUUGGUAAAAGCAUCUUAAACCACGACUCUGAUGAUAACAGGACACUAAUCACCCUUUUUCCUUGCUCAGGGAGACGGAUGGGAGAAGUUUGCUGCUCCCACAGACAGUGUAAUAGUGAGAUUUGCUUUGCUUAACAUAGUUAAUACUCAUAAAAGCCUGCAGCACUCCAGGCUAUUUGCUAGAACAGCUGUGAAGAUUUUUAUGGAGAUGUAUUAGAGACAUUCAGAUGCUGGUUUGAUGGGAGAGAUGUAAAAAAAUCAUAUUUGGUUUGUUGUUUGGGGAGAAUGAUGGAAAAUUCUACAACCAUCUGCUGAAGAUCAGGUACUUGGGUGAUGACCCUGCUGCACUGCACCCCUGUUCCGCAGGGAAUUCGGGGGCCAGGCUCUCUCCUGGCUCUCUCCUGGCUCGAGCUGAUGCCUUGGAGCCACUUGGUGCUGAACAGCAGCGUCCCCCAGCUCCCUGUGACUCCUCAGAUGGCUUUUACUGAACUCAGCAGCUCUGCCCGUGGCUGUCAGCAGCUCUGAAUUUAGCUUUGUGUGUGCAGAGAAGCAAUAAAAGGAAAUCAAAUGUUAAUCAAACAGCAAGCAUGCACCACUUCGGGCCAACUGUGAUAUUCAGAUGUGCCCUGAAUAGCUUCUUGCCCCAGACAAAGCUCAUCAUCCCUACCAGAACUUCUCGUUGUGCAGCCUCUGAUUCCAGCAAGAGCGGUAGUUUCCCCUCAGUAAAAUGUGUCUCCUGCCACUUCUUUGAGAGCCUCCCCAUCCCUUUAGGAAACAUUAAAGCUGACCCCAGGAGAAUUCAGCUUACUCAGUCCAUGGAUUCCAUCAAGGAGAGAGGUGCUGAUGGCUACGCUGACCUGCCGUGUUAAGACAGCAGCUCAGUCCAGCAGCCAUCCCUCAGGCUCCCAAGGGGAGUGCCCCACAGUUGAAAUUGCAAGGGAUAAGUGGAAAACUGUGGUGUUUCCUGACAGUAUUUAGGAAUGGACACAUCCUGAAACAUCCCCCUGGAUGUUCACUCGGCUGAAUGAGGCUCCAUGACUUUGCUUUUGGAGCUGGACCAUGAACACAAUUGGGCAUGGGGGUUUGCUGUUGGCAGUGUGAUUUGGCCUGAGGGAGGUGUUUCUACUGAGCCGAGUUUCCAAGUUUCUUCCCAGUGGGAAGGCAGAUUUUCCUCUGCAUGUCUCCACCAAACAGGCCUCUCCCAGGCUUCACCAUGAGCAUCCCACACCACAGGCAGUCUCCAGCAAUGGUGUCUGCUGCUGAAACAACCCCGUGCAAAGCAGCGACCAAAUGAGGAUAACACUUGGAAUCCACACAAGGAUCCCCAACAGAAAAGGAGGAAAGACACAGCAGAAUCUCCAGGGUCUGUCACAGAGGCAAGAAACUGCCUGUGCCUGGGACUUUUUCCAUGUCCGGGCUGGACUCUGUGCUCAGGAGGGAAGGAAAACCAGCAUCUUGUUCUUAAUGACGGCCUCCGUUUCUGGAGGUUAACACCGCUCCUCUCUGCUGAUCCUGCAGGAUCUUUUCAAAUGUUCAUUUAGCUCUGCCAAUGCUAUUUAUGUGAUCACUUCAGAUUGCAAGAAAAAAGCUCAAUUUGUGACGUUAAUUAAGGAGCUGGGGAGGGAAGAAGUCUUGUUUUCACUGCCUGGUAUGGAGAAAAAUUUCGGAGCGUGGCUGAAGCCUGAGGGUGCACUGGGAACGGGGCUGCCACAAUCUCAGGAUGUGGGGCAGUGAUGUCCAUGUCCUCCCUGCUACAGAGGACACGGCUCCUCCCAGUACAAACACCAGGGCAGAAGAACCCCCUGGACUCCAAAGUCCAUCAUCACCCACCCAAUGUGCACAGAGCCUCCUGCAGGGCUGGAAAUGGGACUGCUUCAGGUCAGCGUCCCCAUCCCGACCACCACCAAGUCUGGAAGCCGCGUCUCAGCCUGCUCAGCAGCAGUGAGCUCUCCUGUGAGGCAGAGACUGCAUCACUGCAUCAUCUGCCCUCUCAAUAAAAUCUGUGUGCUGCUCCAUCUUCAGAAGGCACCAAGAACUGAAUCUACCAACCCAUGCCAGCCUGGGUGCCACAAAUUAAACCCCCCUCCAGUGGGCCAGUGGUGGCUCCAGCACCCUUCCAACCCCCUGCUGUUCAAAAGCUCAGGAAUUGCUCUCCUCCCCUUUUUUGCAUUGCUGUUGAUAUUCUAAAAUACCACAAGAAAGUCUUGGCCUCUGUCAGUUUAAGCCCAUCCCCCCUGUCCUGUCACUCUGUGGCUCCCAAGUGUCUCCUCCUCGAGUGCCCCCAAGGUGGAAGGUUCGCUCUCCCUCUGCCGCCCUGUCCAGCCACCCAGGGAGAGAUUGCACCUCCAAUAAAUGCCCUCAGUUUCACUCUGUCCUGUAAAAUGUUGGAAAAUCAGGGCCUUUUCUCUCUUCAUUUGUGAACAAACCCUGCUGGCUCUGGCUAACAGCUCCUGGAGUCAUCUGGUGGCACCUUCUAGACAUCCAUGAGCUUUCAAUCGUGCGCACCGCUGCCCCGAAGGAUUGCUCUCCUCUGAGGCUGGUCUGCAGCUCUUCUCCAUCCUUCCUGCGUUUUUCACUGCUCACAAGACAAUGUUAACAGCCCUUCUCAAGUACUGCCUGUUUACAGGAGAGAUUUUUCCAGAUGUAAUUCACUACCGGGUGCCUGAAGAUGCCUAAAAGUUAUUUAAUCUCUGCAUUAAAAUACAUACAUAUCUGCAGUAUCCUUGUCCAAAUUAAAUCUGAGCUGCUCACUCCAAGCCAGCCCUCCACCAUUAGAAGGAAUGCAUUAAGAAGGCGAGGGGGAGGUGAAAAGCUCAAUUCAGGGCAAUGGGAGCUGUUCCACUGACUUCUGCCAGUGAUGCAGCUGCACAAUAAAGAAAAUAGAACACAGCAGCAGCCCCCAGCCAGUGGGGCAGGGACCUCCUGGCAGCCCCACAUCCCCUCCUGGCUCUCUGCACACCGAGAGGGUCACAGCAUCCAGGCUUUGCUCAGACAAUCCCAAGUAUCUGCAGCCUUGGAGUCUCAUGGAUGCAGGGGCCCCACUCGAGUUCCCUAAAUUGUGAGCUGGCACCCAGUGACAGAGACUGAUUUAGGCCUCGCUGCUUUGCACUGCAGUUAGAAAAAUACUCAUGGCUCGUUAUCCGUCUUAAUCAGCAGCAGCAAACAAAUGAGGGACAGGGAGACAUCCAGAAGGGAAUACACCACAUUACUCCUCCUUAUUGAUAGCACAGUUACUUAAUUUGAUGUAGAGACGUAACUUCAGGCAUCACUAAAUACUGGAGCAGGGACGUUUUGGUGCAGGGAAGAUCUAUGGGUGCAAUUUAAAAGCUGUCUGUUUGGGAGCGCUGACGUCCAUGGGCGCCGAUACCGAUCCCAGCUCCACGGACAGGCUGGACACCAUCCCUCACCAAGACAAAUGAAGACAGUGUCCCUUCCACGGCUAAAAUCCAGCAGCUGAAAAUGGUGGAGCCCCACUCCACUCCAUCUGCUGUGCUUGCAGGAUGAGCUGCACAACACGGGACCAAGCCCAAGGCUGAGCACAGAAUCCCAGAAUGGUUUGGGUUGGGAAGGACCUUAAAGCUCAUCCACCUCCACCCCCUGCCAUGGGCAGGGACACCUUCUGCUGGACCAGGCUGCUCCAAGCCCUGCCCAACCUGACCUUGGACCCUUCCAGGGAUGGAGCAGCCACAGCUUCCAGUGUCUGAUGGCUUCUGGAUGGUCAUGCCCAACCCACCCUGCCCGUGCUGGGGCAGCAGAGCUCUGGCUCAGACCUUUGGCUCAGCUCCCUCGGGGAAGGCAGCAUGGAGGUGGUGGAGCAAGGCUCAUGAUCUGGGCACACCAAAGAAAAUAAUGCCAGCAGGACAUUUCCCACUGCUUCAGAUGAUGCCUCCCCAUAUGGACAUUUCCCCCAGUCCUGUGCACCCAGCCCCUCUGUUUCUGAUCCCAAGUGCACCAAAAUCAAAGCUCAGAGCAUAUCCAAGUGCACUUGGAGCUCCCUGCAAAACCUCCCGCCCCAGUCUGCCCGUUUGGCUGCGUUUCUAACCCAGCUGUGGCUUAGGGGCUGCUGGCCAGCAGGGUUGGGAACUGCUGCAGUGCAAAUUAACAGGUAUCAAAUUCAUAGCCCUUAUUCACUCUGCUGACUCAUACACCCGAACGGGGGCAGCCUUGAAGGGAAACCGAGCGAGCUUCACCCGGCUGGAAGAGCCAGCACAUGGAUCAGCUCCAGACAGCACAAGAGCAACUCCCAGUGCUUCAGACUCCUCUGCAAAUCCAGGGCUUUUCUCCCUCCUUUUAGUGUAAAAUACAGGUUGGCAUUUUCAAAGUCACCUAUGGGAUUUACAUACCAAAUUCCUCUUCAUUUUAAAAGGAUCUGUGUGUGCAAAUACCUUGAUCAGCACUGAAAAGUUUAGUGUAUGGUAAAAAAAGGACAAAGGCAAAGGGUCCAGCACUGCAUAGGCAGGAACUGUGCAUCCAAAGCAGGAUUUCUGAACCAGGUUUUACUGUGCACACUCUGGGCUGCAGCAGGAAAAUCGUGACACCUCGAAGCCAGCAGUACCCAUGUAUUAAGGGAGAAAUGUGUGUUUCAGCAUUUACCUGAGCAAACAAACAGGAUUAGCUCUUAAAAAUCUUUUUGCAGACAGUGUAAAGCUUUGGGAGAAUACCAUAGAUUUUUUUAUUUUUAAAUGCAGGUAGAUUGUAAUUGUGGGCAAUGAAAGCUACUCUGAGGUAAUUUCAACCUUUCAGGUAAGUAACAGGCUUUCAAAAAGUUGUCUAAAUAGAAACUUUCCAAAAUUAAUUCCAACAGCACUGAAGGCACAUUAAUUUCUUUAAUGGUUCAAACAUAGCGUGGGGUGAGAUGGGUUUUUUGAGCUGGUAUCAAACAGAUUAAUUUAAAAUAAAUCCAUUAACAGAACUACCAUUAAACUACUGCAUCAGCUAACAAUGUUACCAAUAAAAUCAACAGCCAAAGGGAGGAAAAGUUGGACCUUCCAGAGACUAAACCUUUGGCUGAAGAGAAAUAAAAAUAGAAAUGCAUGCAUGGUGUGCUGUAGUGUUUGUGCAGCCACAGCUCUUGGUGCAUGCAGGCAUGGGAGGACGCCCCCACCUAGGGAAAGAAGAUCCCAAAGCACCAGGCCCGUGCUCCCUGCCCAGGCAUCUCCACUCAAAGGCAAAGGUUCACAACCAAAGAAUAACAAGCGGGACCUCUUCCCUGGGUCUUGUGAGCUUUCAGCCAACUUAUUCGCCUAUUGGUUGCGCUUCGUGUGAAAAUAUAAUGAUUUUUAUGGCCCACUUUAACAUUUUUAUGUCUUUUUUCCUUCAGAAAAAAAAUCCCACAUUUGGUGUAAGAAUUAAAACAGUAUUUCAUGCUUAACUGCAAUCACAGAUGAUGUAUGGAAGAGAGCUGGCUUCAUGUCAACCCAAUAUAAAGCCAGAAUUGAAUCUAACUUGGUCACUACAGCUGUGCCAUGUUUUAUGGGGUGAGGGGAUUUUUUCAGAUCAGUCAUAAAUGAAAUGGAAGCUGUGACUGGGCUCAUUUUGUAUCAAACAGGAGCAAAAAAAUGUGGGGAAGAACCAGGAUAGCCACACAUUUGUCUGAGCUGUUCCACUAGAGGUGGAGCGUGCUGCAAACCCAACCCAGUGCUGCAGUGGAACCGGUGCCUGUUGGCACAAAGGCCCUGCCAGGACAGUGAGGGUUCCUGAGCCAUGGGGAGCCCCGUGCUGGGGAUCAGCCCGCAGCUCCUGUCUGGAAAGCACCAUCCCUGCACUCCAGGUCCCUGUGGGAUGGGCUCAGCUGAUGGAAAAUGCCCUCAGGCCUUUCUGCCCUCAUGGUGUGAAUGCGAUGCCCUGAGGGCACCAGCACGGCCCCUCUUGGUUUCCCACCCGGAGACUGUUCCGAUGGUGGUUUUGAAUGUGAGGCUGUGUUAGAAAUGGGAUUUCCAAGCAAAGAUAAAACUUUCCAUGUAAGGAAGGAGCUGCUGUGGAAACCCUUUCUUCCUGCUCUUGGCUUGUGUUUGGGUUGUUGGGUUUUCUGCUGCUGACUUUGAGCAGGACCCGUCUCCUGCUGCCUUCACCACCAUUCCCAGCCUUGGGACCUCCCUGAUGAUGGGCACAGAAAUGACGGCCACGGGCAGGUAAGACCCACGUGAAAGGGGAAUUUAAUGUUAAAAGUUGAAGUCAGUCCACAAAGGUUCCCCUUGCAGUCAAAGGCUGGAUCUUCUGGAGGGUGUUUUACAGCAUCAGCCUUUGGAUCUGCCUGUUCUCAUCCCUAUAAAUUUAGGAUGGGCUGCAGUGGCAAAGCUCCCAUUUCUAUGCAAAUCCAUACCAAUGAUGGAUUACAUGUAGAAAUGGAACAGCACAAUGGCAGAAACAGCAUUUCUUGGUUUAUGUGGGGAAUUUAAUUACCUGCCUGUGGCACAGAAAAGGAAAAUCAGGAACACAUCUUCCCUGACCCCACCCCAACCAUUAAGCCUGCCUAAGAGAGACAGGACAUGGCACUGCUGUGCCAAAAUCUGCAUCCCCUGAGGAAACAGGAGGAGGAGGGAAUGGAAGGGGCAGGGCAGGAUGUGUGGUUGGAUCUUGAGGACACACGUGGGGAGACCAAAGCACUGCAAGGACGGGCGCACCUCGGUCUGAUGGACAGAAGAGACAAGCACAGGUUGGUGUUUGUGGAAUAAACAGGCCCCUGAACCCUUCUGCUGGGAUCUGCCCUGAUUUCUCCAGGAGCUGCAGAAGCAGCUGUAAUCCAUGUUUUGUCCCAGGUUUUGCUCUUCAGCUCCCUGAAUUAUUGGUACCCAUGGCAUUUCCAGGAGGCUUUCAGAUGGUGCCGUGCAGAGUCCGGCUGGUGAUAGAAAUAAAAUGAGUGGUGCUGGUUUUGCACAGUUGCAUUUAGUGAAAUCACCCAAUGAAAAGAGGAAGGUCCUCUCCUUUGCUCAUAACUCUGGGUGUCACCACGAACGGCAUAGCCACAGAGCACACGGGCCUUUAUACUCUGUGCUGGUGUGCUGGGACAGGACAGUUAUUCUGUGAGGAAACAGCUGGGAAUUAUCAAAGGCUGUGGAAAAAUUACGGUGUUUACAUGAGGUUCUGCAUCCCUCCUGCCCAAAUGUCCCUAAUGCUCUGUUACCCUUCUCUGCAAUCUGCUUUUAUUGCUUAACUCCUGGAUGAAACUCCUGCUCACCUCUGGACUCAGUGGCACCACAGAUCUGAACAGCUCACAGCCUGUUAUCCUCCCACAUUCCCCGGGACAGGGAAGUGCACUGGGCAAACCGAGGCACGGGGCAGUGCGGACUCCUGAGGGGAUGCGGGUUAUUCAAAUUAAACCCAAAACCGCAGUGGACUUGCAGCAACAGGAAGCUUUGAGGCUGCAAACUGCCUCCUCAAGUGUGAUGGGAAUUGGUUCACACCUUAUGGCAGAGGGAAGGAACUGUGGGACAGGGUGGCAAAGUGAUGGACAAUGACUUCCAAAAUUUCCCCAAUUCUGAGUGUUCCCACACUCUUCAGCUGCCCUUCCCUGCCUUGUUUUCUGCACAUUCAUUUUGUGCCUUAGGGGUUUUUUUAAGCCAGAAGGGGGAUUUAGACAUUAAAACAGCUACUGACCUGAUACGAGUUAAUGAUUUUAUAAAACCCCUAAAAAAUGCUUUACUUUAAAAGAUUGAUGUUUCCUAUUGUAUUUUUUCAAUGCCAAUUAAUUACUUAAUUCAUUAGCAAUGUAACACAGGAAUAGUCUUUGAAAAUCUGCUGCUUUGUGUAGAUGCCUUUAAUUAUGGAUAAUUAAAUACUGUGGAAGGACCUCAUUACACCUCUGAGCAUUUUCUAAUCUGGAAAAUGAAACACACUCCUGUACUCCUGAACACAUGAAAUAAAAGCUGAGCCCAACAGCCACAGGAAGUGAAAAAAGAUGGGAAAACAAACACCCCCAAAGCCAGAACCACUCCAAACCCUGCAACUAAAGGAGGGUGGAAAUGCCCAGGGAGGCUGGAAGGCUUUGUGCAUGCCCUGACACAGGACUGGACCCAGACCCUGCCUUGCUGGGGUCCAAGGAGGAGCCCAGGUGUGCUCAGUGUGCAGCUGCUGCAAACACGGGCCCAAACUGUGAACAGAACUCGCUGUCAGCACUUGCUAAAGCUGGGAACAGAUUUCCAGAUGGGCCCCUGUACACAUGGCAGCAACAGCCAAAACGGCCACAAAGAGCAAAGCAUAAUCACAGCUGACCCUGGAAGAGGAAAACCUGCCAAUGGCAGAAGUUAUGCUGUUGGUUUCUUUCUGUUUCAGAGUUUUA